CAUUUCUUUAAGAUAAAAAUUUAAAGUAAAUUCUGCCCAAUGAUUGAAAUAUUAAAUGGCUGCAGUAUUUUGACUGUACAAAGGUAGCAUAAUAAAUUGUUUUUUAAUUGAAAGCUUGAAUGAAUGAAUAAAUGAAUUAUAAACUUUAUUAAAAAAUUAUUUUGAAAUUUAUUUUUAAGUUAAAAAGCUUAAAUAAAUUAAUGGGACGAUAAGACCCUAUAGAAUUUUAUAUAAAGUUUAAUUAAAAAUAAUUUAUAUUUUUAUUAAAAAUUAUAUUUUUUUGGGAGGAAAUUAAAAUUUAAUUAACUUUUAAUAAACUUAAACAAUAAUAAUUGUUUUAUAUUUUGAAUUUAUUUUAUAAAUUUUAGAUUAAAUUACCUUAGGGAUAACAGCGUAAUAUUUUUUAAUAGUUCAUAUUGAAAAAAAUGUUU
rnacentral:rRNA from 1 species